rnacentral:rRNA from 1 species
UACAGAGGGUGCAAGCGUUGCUCGGAAUCAUUGGGCGUAAAGGGUAGGUAGGUGGUCUCAUUUGUGUGGGGUGAAAGCCUUGGGCUUAACUCAAGAAGUGCCCCGCAAACGGUGAGACUGGAGUCCUAGAGAGGCUAGCGGAAUUCCCGGUGUAGCGGUGAAAUGCGUAGAGAUCGGGAGGAACACCAGAGGCGAAGGCGGCUAGCUGGAUAGGCACUGACACUGAACUACGAAAGCGUGGGGAGCAAACAGG